rnacentral:misc_RNA from 1 species
GAUGAAGAACGUAGCGAAAUGCGAUAAGUAAUGCGAAUUGCAGAAUUUCCGUGAGUCAUCGAAUCUUUGAACGCACAUUGCGCCCACUGGUAUUCCGGUGGGCAUGUCUGUUCGAGCGUCAUUAUCCUCCCUCAAACCCCGGGUUUGGUGUUGGACCCAAGUUGUGUGAACAACUGGUCUCAAAGACAAUGACGGCGUCCGUGGGACCCUCGGUGCAACGAGCUUUUAGGAGCACGCGCCGAGUUGCAAGGACCUUCCGGGCCGGUCUCCUUUACUAUUUUACAAGGUUGACCUCGGAUCAGGUAGGAAUACCCGCUGAACUUAAGCAUAUCAAUAAGCGGAGGA